rnacentral:tRNA from 1 species
GGUAAAAUGGCUGAAUGUUUAAGCGGUGGAUUGUAGCUCCAUAUAUAGAGGUUAAAGUCCUCUUUUUAUCA